rnacentral:rRNA from 1 species
AUUGAACGCUGGCGGCAGGCUUAACACAUGCAAGUCGAACGGUAGCACAGUGGAGCUUUCUUCUUGGGUGACGAGCGGCGGGUGGGUGAGUAGUGUCUGGCAAACUCUCUGCUGGGGGGGGAUAUCUAGUGGAAACGGUAGCUAAUACAGCAUAACGUCGCCAGCCCAAAGAGGGGGAGAUUCUGGCCUCUUGCCAUCAGAUGUGCCCAGAUGGGAUUGGCUAGUAGGUGGGGUAAUGGCUCACCUAGGCGACGAGCCCUAGAUGGUCUGAGAGGAGGAGAGGCGACAUGGGAGGUGGGACAGGGUCAAGACUCCUACGAGAGGCAGCAGUGGGCAAUAUUGGACAAUAGGGGGAAGCCUUAUGCAGCGAGGCCGCGUGUGUGAAAAAGGCCUUCGGGUUGGAAAGCACUUUUUGCGGGGAGAAACGUCGUGAGCUUAAUACGUUGAUUGAGUGACGGUAAUCGGAGAAGAAGCACCGGCUAACUCCGUG